rnacentral:lncRNA from 1 species
AGCUAAUAGGCGCGGGUUGCUUGUUGUUUGGCAUGUAGCGCUCGUUUACAGCUUUGCCUCCCUGCAUCCAGUGCAGCCUUAGGCCUUAGUUGGUGGAAAGCCAGUACAGGAGUCUGUGAAGAUGCCAGGCAAGGCAGAGAGUUGUGAUCUGCAGCCUCUGCAGUCUCUGGGUAGCGACCACGGCUACAUACGGAUGGCUAUGGUGGCUAAGUUCACUUAUUCACUGCUGCUGCGCCAACUGCCCGAUGCAGCGUCCCUAGCUAACGAGGUAGCUUCCAGACAGCCAUUCCGCCGAGGACUGAUAGGUUUGGCGGAGUGUCUUAUCUGCACCUCUUCGGCUAUACAUUUGAUGGGCGGGGGUGCGUGCAAGGCCGACGUACAUGCAGAGUAGUUGCAGGCUCGCGGAGAAUUGUGCCAGUAGUGUGCAGUGUUGUAGUAAAUAACAUUUCAACGACCCAAUUAAGUAUGAGUUGGCCAUAACAGCGCAUACCGCAUGUGUUUAUAAGGGCCUUAGGCAGCUUUACAGGUUAGGCAGUCAGUCAUCCGUCAUCAUCCGGGCCGACUUCCGGAAAGUUAGUUCAUUCAGAGUUCAUCCAUCCCGCAGGCGCCGUGGGGGCCUGAGAUGUUAAGCAUGUAUGUGUAACAGUUUUUUAUGGUCACCUCAAUCUCUGAUUCCGACGGCAUGCAACCGUGGAGCUAGAGGCAUGCUCCUUCCAAUCAUAGUGCCAAGUACGGCCCCUUGCAGCAGAGCGCGCGCGUACGUUGAUUAUCGAUCUGUUAGAAGACAGCUGACGUAUCGCCAGCACCGCGAAUGGUGCACAGGUGUCCUUGACCUUAGGUGCAGGAUGGGAAAGUGGAUAGUGGAAGCAGGCUUAUGUUGGGAAUGUUAGCAGUGGCGGCAAGGAUAGUAAGCAUUUGCUUCUGCAAGUACAGCAUUACGGGUGCAUGAGGCUACUUGCAAGCUGUAUGUAUGUAUAUGUGCAUUUAUGUAUGUAUGUGUGCAUGUAUGUGUGCAUGUAUGUUUAUAUGUAUGUAUGUAUGUAUGCAUGCAUGCUAUAUGUUUGCCCGGAAUUGUGCAAGGCCAGGGAAACGUUGGCCCCCCUGCUUGUUUUGUCACCUAUCUUCGCUGCCCGGACCCAGCUUUCCGGAGUUAUCUGGAACAAAGCAAAUUCCGCCACGUACUGUGUGGACGCAGAGGCAGGCGGUGGAAGCAUGAAGCGCGUGCGGGGGGGGAUUGCAACACGUCCCUCGCGGCUCGGUCUGACUGCAUGAUGAAAUCUGGUCACGAGCGUUAAAUACCUCCUCAUGGUCAUUAUAGUUUCUGGGCUUGGGUUAGAGCUACGGUGGAGUGUUGGUAGCCAACGACGUGGUAAGGUCAGGGGUAUGUACCGGAACGUAACUCCCGUGAACCGCGGGUUUAUCGCCCCGCCGUGUAGGGAUUGUCGUGUCCCGGCAUGUGCAUCUAAGCACCGCUGUGAGCUGCAGGCGGGCUGACGGGCUGUGUAGGUCGGCUGGUUGGCGCGCGAGGCUGCCAGCUGCUGAUCAGGUCGACAUUCAUCGGCCGGAGGUCAGAGAUCCGUGACCGAAUGGAUGGAACUCGGCCCCUGGAUAUGCGAAGAUAUGCAACAUCUUUGAAACAAUCAAGAGGGUGGUUGGCUCGCUUCUGCCACGAUAGCGCAUGCUUUCCAGUAGUUUUUAUAGUUGCGGCGUUUUAUCGUAUUAUUGGAGGCUUGUAGGAAUAGGAGGGAAAGGAAUGGAUAAACGGUUUGUACGGCGACUCAUGGCCGUGGCUGACAUAGCCAGAAGCAGAGAUGCAUUGGCUUGGGGGAAGGUGCCCUAGCGUGUUCCUUUUUUCAGUCUGGGCUCCUUAGGUACUUAUUAGGUUAUGUGGGGUGAUUUUUGCAUAUGUUAGCAGGUGCGGGCCCUAGCAAAUAUUUUUGGCGGGCUUUGCAGCAACUCCAUGUAUGUGAGCUAUGCCGGCAUCCCCGGCAACAGAUUUUCUUAGGGGCGGGGACCUGGCGGCGCGGCUUUCCGCCGUAAACGGGGACCUUACGAACUCCCCGGAAGAAUGUCUAAAGUUUGGGUAUAAGAAAUUGCGCAUAUCUGGCGUUACUUUGACCUUGCAUGAAUCAAGACAACAGUAAGGAAAUGCGACAUGUAUAAUGAAAAGCGGGAAUAUCGAAAAUGUUGGCAUCCGUACAUUGGCAUCCGAACCAUUUGCUAGGUCUCAUUUCCAAAUACAAAAUCCUCUACGUACAUAGAGUACAUAGAUAACCCCCUCGCUAAGUUUUUUAAGAAAAAAGAGGUCACAGUGGCACCACGUAGGAAGAGAGCACGCAAAGAGAUUAACCUGAAGAAAACGGGCGGCCAUGGAUCCGGUGCUGGAGAGCCCAACUUGGACGCGGCUCCUGUUCCAGCAGCGGACGUCCAUGAAGAUAAUACUGGCGCAGACUUUUCCAACAUAGAUGAGGAGCCGCAGGCAGAGCUCUCUGAUGACGAACACGGCCCACCAAAUGGCCCCCCAGAAUCGAAUUACGAAGCAGUUGCCAAAGUGUACCUUCAGCAAGUUGCAGCUGCAAGUAAAGCAAUGAGAGGUUUCCUCGAUGUUUGCCCAAGCAUGGCAGCGACUAUAUCUCGCCAAAACAGCACGUCACGCUGAUGCGUUUCAGGAUGUGUGUUUGGCCUUUGGCGGUUAAUCGACCGCACGGUAGGGAACGGUCUGCCCGGUGGUGCCGGGUCUGUGGGAACCGGCAAGAUGAAUGUCAUGUGCUGCUAGAUUGACCUGCGUAUGCGAAUGUCUGUUUGAAGCUUUGGGACCUGGGGGUUACUCCUGGGGACCGCAUGAUCGAGAUUAUGGGCGUCAAGGAUCAACGCGGGUUAGCGCGCGUCCUGGACGACAUUAGAAGAUGCAGGUUGCAGGUUGAAGAUUAAUCAAUCUGUUAUUGUUGGGUAUUGGCAUUUUUCUUUUUUGAGUUCUUGUUUCCAGUUUGGCGGUUCAUGAGCCUUUUGGCUCGUCUGGACCGUACAAGCUUGAAGCUUGUAAAACGUAAACGUAAAACGAUUCUCUUUCCGCAUUUCCGCCAAUCUGGGCUUCGCUGCGGAAAGCGUGACGAAACCUAUUUACGCAGGUUUCCGUUUCCGCAGGUUUCCGUUUCGGCUCGUUCCCUGGCUUAAAGAUUGUUGCGAAGCUGAAAAA